rfam:Phytophthora infestans T30-4 supercont1.3 genomic scaffold, whole genome shotgun sequence.
GACAGCGUAGCUCAAUGGUGAGCGCGCAGAGCUGUGUCCUGAGGGAGCUGGUUCGAAUCCAACCGUUGUGA